GCCCUUUUAACUCAGUGGUAGAGUGUCAGUCUUCUACUGGUCCGUGUGGCCGGCAAGGAUAACUGAAAGUCGUGAGUUCGACCCUCACAAGGGGCU